rnacentral:rRNA from 1 species
GUGGCGAACGGGUGAGUAACACGUGGGUAAUCUGCCCUGUACUCUGGGAUAAGCCUGGGAAACUGGGUCUAAUACCGGAUAUGACCUUUCACCGCAUGGUGGGGGUGGAAAGUUCCGGCGGUAUGGGAUGAACCCGCGGCCUAUCAGCUUGUUGGUGGGGUAAUGGCCUACCAAGGUAAAGAUCGGUAGCCGGCCUGAGAGGGCACACGGCCACACUGGCACUGAAACACGGGCCAGACUCCUACGGGAGGCAGCAGUGGGGAAUAUUGCACAAUGGGCGCAAGCCUGAUGCAGCGACGCCGCGUGAGGGAUGACGGCCUUCGGGUUGUAAACCUCUUUCGCCAGGGACGAAGCGCGAGUGACGGUACCUGGAUAAGAAGCACCGGCUAACUACGUGCCAGCAGCCGCGGUAAUACGUAGGGUGCGAGCGUUGUCCGGAAUUAUUGGGCGUAAAGAGCUCGUAGGCGGUUUGUCGCGUCGGCUGUGAAAUCUGGAGGCUUAACCUUCAGCGUGCAGUCGAUACGGGCAGACUUGAGUUCGGCAGGGGAGACUGGAAUUCCUGGUGUAGCGGUGAAAUGCGCAGAUAUCAGGAGGAACACCGGUGGCGAAGGCGGGUCUCUGGGCCGAUACUGACGCUGAGGAGCGAGAGC